UUUACUGGGCGUAAAGUGUGCGUAGGUUGUUCUGUAUGUCGGGUGUGAAAUCUUGCCGCUCAACGGCAAAACUGCAUUCGAAACUGCAGGGCUAGAGUGCGGGAGAGGAGAGCGGAAUUCUUGGUGUAGCGGUGGAAUGCGUUGAUAUCAAGAAGAACACCGGUGGCGAAGGCGGCUCUCUAGAACGCAACUGACACUGAGGCACGAAAGCUGGGGGAGCGAACAGGAUUAGAUACCCUGGUAGUCCCAGCUGUAAACGGUGUGCACUUGGUGUGGGGAGAUUUGACCCUUCCUGUGCCGUAGCUAACGCGAUAAGUGCACCGCCUGGGGAGUACGGCCGCAAGGCUAAAACUCAAAGAAAUUGACGGGGGCCCGCACAAGCGGUGGAGCAUGUGGUUUAAUUCGAUGCAACGCGAAAAACCUUACCUGGGUUUGACAUCCUUUGACAGUCCCUGAAAGGGGAUCUUACCGAUUCUUCGGAACAAAGUGACAGGUGCUGCAUGGCUGUCGUCAGCUCGUGUCGUGAGAUGUUGGGUUAAGUCCCGCAACGAGCGCAACCCUUGUCUUUAGUUGCCACUAUUAAGUUAGGCACUCUAAAGAUACUGCCCCGGUUAACGGGGAGGAAGGUGGGGAUGACGUCAAGUCCUCAUGGCCUUUAUACCCAGGGCUACACACGUGCUACAAUGGGCUGUACAAAGGGUCGCGACUCUGCGAGGAGAAGCUAAUCCCAAAAAGUAGUCCUAAGUUCGGAUUGGAGUCUGCAACUCGACUCCAUGAAGCUGGAAUCGCUAGUAAUCGUGGAUCAGCAUGCCACGGUGAAUACGUUCCCGGGCCUUGUACACACCGCCCGUCACACCACGAAAGUUGGUUGUACCAGAAGUUACUGGGCUAACCCCUGAGCUUGUCGAAGGGGAGGCAGGCACCUAAGGUAUGGCUGGUGAUUGGGGUGAAGUCGUAACAAGGUAACC
rnacentral:rRNA from 1 species